rnacentral:tRNA from 1 species
GGGUAAGUAGUUUCAUAAGGCUUAGAAACGCUAACACUGAUAAGGUUAGAGAAGAGAGGUUCGAAUCCUCUCCUUACCACUA